rnacentral:rRNA from 1 species
CCCUUAGAUGUUCUGGGCCGCGCGCGCGCUACACUGAUGCAUUCAACGAGUUCCUACCUUGGCCGAGAGGCCUGGGCAAUCUUUUGAACUUGCAUCGUGAUAGGGAUAGAUUAUUGCAAUUAUUAAUCUUGAACGAGGAAUUCCUAGUAAACGCAGAUCAUCAAUCUGCAUUGAUUACGUCCCUGCCCUUUGUACACACCGCCCGUCGCACCUACCGAUUGAAUGGUCCGGUGAAGCCUCGGGAUUGUGGUUAGUUUCCUUCAUUGGAAGUUAGCCGCGAGAACUUGUCUAAACCUUAUCAUUUAGAGGAAGGUGAAGUCGUAACA